UACAGAAUGAAAUACAGAACAAAAUAUAGAAAUAUGGAAUUCUAUAUAUCCUCUACAAGAGUAAUUUACAAUUGCAUAAUAACAUCACGGACAAGGUACUAGGCAAUGGUAUACAAUAUUAAUGUAAUUUUGUGAUAUAUUGAGUCGAUAAAGUCGCAUAUGACAUAAAAAUGGUAAGACAGUCAGGUUAUACAUACUAUAUUCAAUAUUCAUUGAUAAAUUUCAUUCGACAAAUGAAAUUAGAGAAUGGAUACCUUAUUUUCUAAGACAUCUAUGUUUCAAACUCAAUAUUAACUGUAUGCAAUGUAAUAUAAUAUGUGCAACUGGCUUUUCUAAGGAUUUGUCGAUUCGAAUUUGGCGGAUCGAUUUUCUAUGUUUCCCGCUUGCUAAGUUAAAUAUCUCCACCAAUAGGAAAUCUCAAUCAAUAGAAAUUUCCACCAAUAGGAUAUCCGCUAGAUGACGCCAUGCCACGAAACGUUAGUCAAAUGUUGAAAGUUGUAGCGGUUAAAUGUAUCACUUUUGCUUUCUAUACGGUGUAACAGGACAAUCACAAUUUCUACUUUUCCCUAUCUUCUGGAAAGGAUAUACCGAUGCUUCAAAAGCCAGAAAUGUAAGUAUUAUUACACGUUAUAUUCUCACUAAUUUUAUUUUAAAAAUAAAUUAUAGUAUUUUACGUUUUGCAAGCGCACGAUAAAAGGACUACUUACUUGUAAAUUGAUAUUUCAGAUGAUAGAUCUUGAAUGUACAUGCGUAAAAGAAGGGUGAAGGAAUCUCCACGUACAACAACUUUCACCUAGCCAAUUAGUAUUAUUUGAUAUACAAAUACUAAUUACAUCACUGCGAGAUACAAUUAUGAAUUUUAUAGCGAAUAAUAUAUGACUUGAUCGGCUGCAAUCGUUAUUACGUUUUUGUGUAACUAGAAAAUUUACUCGGUACUUAAUUAACGUCUGUUUAUAUUUUUAUUAAUUACAUAUAAUUAUUACAAAAAUAUAAUAUCAUUUACAAAUAAUUAAGUUGGGCUCUUUUAAGUUCGGUGUACUGUCCAGUUUAAUAAUUUGUAAUAAAUAACGGAACUAUGAUACAUGGAA